GACGAACGCUGGCGGCGUGCUUAACACAUGCAAGUCGAACGCUGAAGCUCAGCUUUUGUUGGGUGGAUGAGUGGCGAACGGGUGAGUAACACGUGAGUAACCUGCCCCCUUCUUUGGGAUAACGCCCGGAAACGGGUGCUAAUACUGGAUAUUCACUGGUCUUCGCAUGGGGGUUGGUGGAAAGGGUUUUUCUGGUGGGGGAUGUGCUCGCGGCCUAUCCGCUUGUUGGUGGGGUGAUGGCCUACCAAGGCUUUGACGGGUAGCCGGCCUGAGAGGGUGACCGGGAACAUUGGGACUGAGAUACGGCCCAGACUCCUACGGGGGGCAGCAGUGGGGAAUAUUGCAGAAUGGGCGCAAGCCUGAUGCAGCGACGCUGAGGGAGGGAUGGAGGCCUUCGGGUUGUGAACCUCUGGCGCUCAUGGUCAAGCCGCAACAAUGGUUGUGGUGAGGGUAGUGGGUAAAGAAGCGCCGGCUAACUACGUG
rnacentral:rRNA from 1 species